ACAGGAUCCCUAGGAAACGUGUGUGUUUGUGUAUAUGCUUGCAUGGGUGUGUUAAUCUGGCUAUUUGUCUGUGGUUAUGGAAUAUAUUUUCCUUUUUUCUCUCAAGAGCACAGCACACAUGACAUGCACGUUUUCUAAGGGCACAUAACAUACUAAAGCUGUCUGACCCCAAAGAGUCAAGCUGCCGCCAAAUGACGGACAUGGAAGUGUGACUCUCCACCCCCUUAGGUAUGAGGGCAGGAUGCAAGGAAAGGAAAAGAGGACAGAGGAAUCAAAGGAUGAACACUGGAAUAUCCUUGACCUCUCAAGCAUCAUCAGUUGCCAUAAAAGGAUCUGCCUUUGUGUUGUUAAAGUUCGUUAUUUAAGGCAUUCAUAAUAAAUAUUAAUAAAGCAAGAUGCCCCGGUUGAAACCUGUGUAUCCUUGCUCAUGACACCUCUGGAAGCCUCCUUACUCCUCACCUCCUCCCAGUGUAAUUAGAGAAUUGAGAUGUCCUACAAGAUGGCUGAGCUCAAUUGGUUUCCGGGUCAUAGGAUGGAAGACGGAGGAGCGAGGAGGGAUAUUGAGAAGCACCCUUUGUGAUGACCAAGUAAGUGUUGUAGGAAGAAAAUUAUUUUCUGGUAUUUCUUU